GAUUCGUUAGCUCAGUUGGUUCAGAGCACUUGCUUGACAGGCAAGGGGUCGGUGGUUCGAGCCCACUACGAAUCA
rnacentral:tRNA from 1 species